CUGCUUGGUUAGUGGUAAUGCCUUUGGUUCCUUGAUUCCAGGACACAACCAAUCUAAAGUACUCCGGUCUAGCUGUGUUUCCCAGGCUGUCUUUGAACUUUCAGUCCUGCUGCCUCAUCCUUCGGGGUCUCUACCAUUAGAGAGAGAUGCUCUGGGUCCCCUGCUGGAGGCGUGACAGCACCAUUCAUAUUCUUUGCAGAGAAGGCACUGUAGAAGAACAGAUGGAUCAAGGGGCCCUACCCAAGAGACAAGAGCACCCCCAAGAAGAUGGAGAUGCUCACACCUGCAGGCCGGAGCCUCUACUUCCAACUGCUUACCAAGAUGAGGCAAACAAAGAUCAGAGAGAUAAAGCACUUCACAGGAGUGGUGGAACCCGUUUUGAAAGUAUGUUGAAAUGUCAAGAGCUAUGUACUGUUUUGAAC